rnacentral:lncRNA from 1 species
GGGCUGGUUCCAGCAGCAACCGCCGGGCAGGGCCCCUCCCGACCGCGACCUCCUGUCCGCACCGUAGGGCAGCCGGCCGGGCCAGCCUCCCUCACAGGACUACCGAGGAAGAGGUAGGAUUUCACUCUGUCACCCAGGCGGGAGUGCAGUGGUGCGAUCAUAGCGGGGACUACAAGUGUGCACCACAUGCUUGUCUACGAACCUGAAGUAUUCUGAUGCAGUGGAGAGAGUGUAGAACUCUGGAGUGAAGAGAUCUGCCUGGAACCCUGACUCUAUCACUAGGAGAUUCCUUGGAAUGAAACCAAUGGGAGUCCAGGGUUUGGGAGAGUCUCAUCAGAGCAGAUGGGCGAGCAGCAGCCAGAACGCUUGUUGCCUUUGGCUGAGAACACUAUCCUGGAUCUGAAUGUCUUAUCAGGACCUGAAGUAGGUGGCUGCCCAUCCAGGUAUUCUACAGGCACUUGCCCGUGAAACCUUCACCACUCCUUGAAUCUGGUUCUGCAAAGUGGGACAGCUGAGACUUAGGCUAAGUGACUUACUGAGGCAGCAGUCAGCACCGUGUGGGACCAGCCCCCAUGCUGUUUCCCAAAUGGAGGCACCUUCCUGCAUACCUUGGGCGUGAUCUGUAACAGCUCAGAAAGCUUGGACACCAGCAGGGUGGCACCUAUAUGGGGAGCACCUGUCCGCACUGACUGCAUUCAAUAAGCGUUCAUUUCAUCACCCUUCACCAUGCUUUGUCACUCCAAGAGAUGGCCCUGGGACUGAGAAGUGGAUGGCAGCUGUGACAGCAGGAGAGGACUGCCUGAGGCUCCCCGGGCAGAGGCUCUGGUGCCAGGUUAGCAGCAGGACCGACGGCAGACCCAGCAGCCAGAGAGUGAAAGGUGGGUAAAUUGAGGCCCAAGGAGAGGAAUGGACUUGCUGUGGACAUUCCAAGAGCCCAGAGGCAACUCAGGCCAAGGCGAGUCUGUCUGUUCUGAAUCUCUUAGGUCAGUUCUGAAUCCAAACAGUAACCGGACAAGCCCAUUCUCAGGAGCUCCUCAGCUCCAUUCCGUGGGGGCUUGGUUACCUGUAACAGGGCCUCAACAGGAGGGUCAUAGACUUGCCCAUUGCUUCCAAGCAACAGGGAGUUGGCAUUGCCCUGCCUCCUGUGGGACUCGCAAACAUAAAAUCUCAGGCUCUCUCAUUCUCACAUCUACAUUACAUAGCACUGACUCUGUGCCGGACACUGUUCUUAGUGCUUUGCAAAUAGUAAUUUAUAUAGUCCUCAUUGACUGGGAAGCUAUAUUAAUUUUGACAUUAUUCCUGAGAAAAGCAUAUCCCUUCCUGGGUUCUGGCCCUGUUAACAGGAAUGUUUUAAAACUUUGUCUCUC